AAGCGGCUUGGUGGCGGUGAAAGCCAGGACACACUCUCUGAAGUCCUGGCUGGCAUCACGUCUCCUGUUGACACUGGAUUCUUUUGCAAAAGUGCCGAUUCUUCAACUAUGUAUACUGUCACCUCCAUGGUACGUCCACAGCAAAUUGUUAUUUUCUCCUAAAUUGGUUUGUUAAAAGAACUGAACAAAUACUUCUGUCAGCUAUUUGGUAUUGGUUGAUACAUUCAUUGACCUGCAAAUUUACAAGUUAUGUUGAUUAUUGUUACUUCUUCCUUGGCUGUGGUUCGAUGCUACGUCAAUUUUGAGAUGUGCCCGAUGCUUCUCAUUAUCAGCAUAAAUGUUGUGUUAUACUCACAAAUGGAGAGGAACCAAGUUUUUAUUAGUGUAAGAUUGAAGCAAGGCUCCUGUUAUUGUGGAAUAAAAUGGAGCACGGUACUAUAUGGCACUGCCACCAGGUUCAAACUGCUAGGUUACCUUGACAAGGCAUUUCUGCUAUUUCUAAAGAAUUGGAUAAUGGGUUUGACUAUGAUACGUCAUAACUGAGUUGGUGAUAUCAUAUAAUUGCUUGAGGAUAUGUUUGCAAGUUAUCAAAUCGGUCCUAUCUGUGGUAUACGUUCUCCUGUCUACUUCAUAGAUAUCAAAAUAUUUGAGAGAUUCAACAGAAGAAUUUUGACAAGAAUCAACAGCAUGUGUGAUCCUAAUGUUGCUAAGGUUUUUUGUUAAACUUCCAAUUGAUUGAACAUCGGAGAACUAUCAUAUGUAGGUAACCUGGUUGAACCUUGUAACCUCUGCUGCUCUCACACGUAUAUCUUGCAAUAUUUUCCGUCUCUUCAUAUAUAAUAGGAAAUGGUCUCAUGAAAUCACAUGGAGUGUUUGCAGAACAUAAGCUGGAGUAACCCUUUUUGUGCCUCUCUCUCUCUUCCCUGCUGUUCCAGUUGUGCUUGAUGCAGAACAAAGAUUGGUGAACCGUUUCACAGCUCAUUAUGUGUCUGCACUAGAAUUUGCAAGGUUUCUUAGCUGUGCACACUUGGUCCUUCAGCUGAGCGUAAACACCAUUCUUGCAUCAUAAAGGGCAUUUAGGUGUUCCGGUGUCAUGAACUCAUGAUGAGCUAUGGGGAUCCCAAAGAUGAAAACUUGAUCCUAGGAAUCUCAAAAGAAGGUCUAAUAUCUUGUGUGAACAAAUAAGUCAGAUGAUUUCUCUGUUUGUGUAAUUCCAAUUUUGGUAUGCAAGUAUGAUCAGGACCACUUGGUGUGGCCUACGCGCAUUUGUUCUUUGAUUCUUAGUGAGGAUCCUGCUAUAUUCUUAUUGAAGGAAAUGUCACUACUUCAAGUGUACUUAUUGUAUGUGUUGAUUGUACCCAAAAAAAUAUGAUAUUUAUACACAUUUAUUUCUCUAUGCUAUGAACAAAUUGUUGGAUGCAACAAAUGUUGCUCCUGUGUUGUACAUGUGUUAUCUGUCUUUGAAAGUUUUUUUUUAUUUUCUUUUAAAAGGAUUGCUUAUACAAGCUUAAGGGCUGUCAAAGACAUACUGAAUUCUUGGAAAACUAAACAGACAUCAGUCGACUAAAACUUAUGUUUUUAUGUUCUUUAAAAAAUAUUGCCUAUAUGGGCUUAAGGGCUCUCAAAGACCUACUGAAUUCUUGGACAACUAAACAAACAUAAACAUCGUAAAACAUAUGGUUAUAGUAAUAUGUUGCAUUUGCCUGUGCGCCGGCCGCCGGGGUGCACCGGGUCAUCUAUGUUAGGUUCAAUGAACAAUUUGUGUUUGAUCAUGAAUGAACCCUUCGGAAUUUUAAGAUGCAGCAUAAUUUAUAAAUGGCACGCCGUCAAAUGCACAUUAUUGUACUACGGUACGGCCUUGAUUGAAUGUCCUGACAGAAUUAUUAACUUUCAUAUUUUGUGUGUAAUAAGACCUGCUUGUUGUGCUCACUAACUUAUGUUUCAGGUCCUCAUGCUACAUUAGGUGUUCUCGGGGAAAAAUACUGUGUAUUUAGCAUAUAAGGAACCUGAGCACAAAAUCAAAUGGCUGAUAUGUAGCAUGCAUCUAAGGUUAGAUGUUUCCAUUUUUUAGUUCCAUAGAUGAGAAGACGUGACUCAGGCAGGCUGAUACUGUCACCAUCGCAGGGCGGCGUGCACUUGAGAUUCCGCUCGAGAUCGAUCAGAUUCGACCGGAUUUUGUAGUCAGUCGAGUUGUAGUGUUCAGGAAUCAGAACUUGUAAGGUUGUUAAAUUUCAAAGAUGUAAACUGGUAUGAGUUUCAGAAUUAUAUGGUCAUAUCCUCUAUUUUUAUCCCAAGGCUGCUAAUGUACGAGUUUCACAUUUUUGUGCACUAUCGAAUCAUCUACUACAAUGUCCAGGCUAGAUGGAAUGGUGUUCAGUUAGAGAAGAUAGAUGAUCUUGCUUGGUAGCUUAUCAUAUGUACUGUCUCUUUUGAUUUUGCUUGUUGAUCUUCAGAUAGUAUUUUUGCUGGCAGACCUUCUAUAAACA